rnacentral:rRNA from 1 species
CCUACGUGUGGCUGCAGUGGGGAAUAUUGGACAAUGGGCGAAAGCCUGAUCCAGCCAUGCCGCGUGUGUGAAGAAGGCCUUCGGGUUGUAAAGCACUUUCAGUGGGGAAGAAAGCCUUGGGGCUAAUACCCUCGAGGAAGGACAUCACCCACAGAAGAAGCACCGGCUAACUCCGUGCCAGCAGCCGCGGUAAUACGGAGGGUGCGAGCGUUAAUCGGAAUUACUGGGCGUAAAGCGCGCGUAGGCGGUCUGAUAAGCCGGUUGUGAAAGCCCCGGGCUCAACCUGGGAACGGCAUCCGGAACUGUCAGGCUAGAGUGCAGGAGAGGAAGGUAGAAUUCCCGGUGUAGCGGUGAAAUGCGUAGAGAUCGGGAGGAAUACCAGUGGCGAAGGCGGCCUUCUGGACUGACACUGACGCUGAGGUGCGAAAGCGUGGGUAGCAAACAGGAUUAGAUACCCAGUAGUC